CUAGGUAUGGGGAGUAUCGACCCUCUCCGUGCCGAAGCUAACGUUUUAAGUGUCCCGCCUGGGGAUUACGGCCGCAAGGCUAAAACUCAAAGGAAUUGACGGGUCCCCGCACAAGCAGCGGAGCGUGUGGUUUAAUUCGAUGCAACGCGAAGAACCUUACCAAGGCUUGACAUGUUGGAAGUAGAAUCCCGAAAGGGUGACGAACUGUUGAAUCAGUAGCCAUCACAGGUGAUGCAUGGCUGUCGUCAGCUCGUGCCGUGAGGUGUUGGGUUAAGUCCCGCAACGAGCGCAACCCUCGUUGCCAGUUGAUUUCUCUGGCGAGACUGCCCCGCAAAACGGGGAGGAAGGUGGGGAUGACGUCAAGUCAGCACGUCCCUUAUGCCUUGGGCUACACACACGCUACAAUGGGUGGUACAGUGAGCAGCAACAGAGCGAUCUGAAGCUAUUCCCCAAAACCAUCCUCAGUUCGAAUUGCAGGCUGAAACUCGCCUGCAUGAAGUUGGAGUUGCUAGUAAACGCGUAUCAGCACGGCGCGUUGAAUACGUUCUCGGGGAUUGUACACACCGCCCGUCACGUCAUGAAAGUCGGCAACACCUGAAGUCGAUGGGCUAACUCCGAUUUAUCGGAGAGGCAGUCGCCGAGGGUGGGGUUGAUGAUUGGGACGAAGUCGUAACAAGGUAGCCG
rnacentral:rRNA from 1 species